UGGUAACCAUGCUGCAGCAUUGGCAUUGGCUGCAAAGUUAUGCGGGAUCGCUUCGUAUGUAGUUUACCGAAAAAUGCUCAGCAAUGCAAAGUUCAGAAUGUUGUGCAGUAUGGUGGUCGGGUUAUAUAGAGUGAGUCGACCUUGCAGUUAAGGGAGGAAACUGCAGCCACGGUGUUGCAGGAAACUGGGGCUGCUCUUAUCCAUCCAUAUAAUGAUGGGCGCAUUACAAGUGGGCAAGGUACAAUAUCCUUGGAGCUAUUACAGCAAUCCCCUCAGAUAGACACUAUAAUUGUUCCCAUAAGUGGAGGUGGCUUGACAUCAGGGGUGGCAUUGGCUGCCAAAAAUCCAUCA